CAGCCUGAAAUGGAGCCAUUUUAAGAGGAGUUAUGUGAACAGGAGGACUGAGCAUUGAUCUGCUCCAAAAGCCAAGGACCAAUCAUACUGGGCGUCUGUCCGGCCCGGGUGAAUGACUGACAGAUGAAAUGGCUAAAUGACAGGCGUGUGUGUGGAGCGAAGGUGAUGGGGGCAGGGAGGACUGCUGCUGACGGUGGAACACGCGUCAUGGCAACAGGAGACACACAGCCAGCCUGAAAUGGAACCAUUUUAAGAGGAGUUGUGUGAGCAGGUGGGCUGAACAUCAAUUUGCUCAAAAAGCUAAAGGACACGGUACUCUGGACCACAACUGAAAAGCGAGCUUGAAUAAACUCCACCUGAAGCAGUAAACCCUCCAGAUGUGCACAUUCAACUAAAACAGUAUCUCUAAAACCCCACAAAAGGAACAUCCCCCCUCAACUGUAGGAUCCAGGUGUGCCUUAUAGUAACCGUCUGUUCUCGGCCAUCACCCCCAUGCAUGACCCUUCCCCACUGAUCACCUGAUCUUUUCAAUGGAUCAACAGGGGGCUUGUGCAGGCCCUCCAGCUACCUUUCAGAAAAGAAAUAUGGAGGGAAAGAGAGACGAGGAAGGGAGAGGGGGAAAUCAGCAGAGAGAAAAAGAAUGAGAAAUGUGCUGCCCUCCUCAAGUCUCCCUCCACGGGAAUGAAUUCUUUAAUUAAAAUGCAGCACAAUGGAAAGCAUUCACCCCUGAAAGUGUUAAAAUCAGAAAGGAAACUAAAGGCAGAGGUGGAAAAUCUGACUAAAGGAAUCUAGCAGUGAGAGAUGAAUAGGAGGACAGAAGUGUAUAAUAACAGUUUUUUUUUUAUAGUGAGCAGGCCUGCUGUUCAAAUUCACUUUUUUAUUAUUAAAAAAAAAACCCUUUUGUCCAGAGCAGCCACCUUGUGUAUCGGUGAGGCUCAUAUGAUGAUUUCAACUGCUAUGGUAUAACAUGGAUGGCCAAAGGAGGAGCAGACUGAAUAACAAGGACAAAUUUUAAAUUCUUUUAAUUCAGGAUAAUAAUAUAACUGCUCUAUGCUAGAAUUCAGUUAGAUCAUUCCAAUGUACUGCAUUACUACUGCUUUAUAAAUAGUUAGAUAUGUGUACAAUUCCUAUUCAAACCAUUUAAUAAUUAUUUAUGGAAUGUGUAUAUAUCA